GCAUGGUUGGUUCAGUGGUAGAAUUCUCACCUUCCAUACGAGACAUCCAGGUUCGAGUCCUGGCCCAUGCA
rnacentral:tRNA from 1 species